AUGAGGAAGGCCCCACCGAGCACUGCUGGGAACACCAGGCCACUUCAGCAGGCCGCACAGAGGUCCCGCUCAGCCAAGGCCGCAGAUCAGCAGGCCGGGCCUGGAGGUCGUGGGACAAGAUGUGCCCAGGGUGAUGCGAUGCUCAGCCUUCAGCCCAGGGGCACCUCCUUCCGCACUCUGUGCUGCUCAGGUACUCGAGGGGCAGAGCUAACCACUGAGGCUCAGGUGGCAGCCACAGUGUCACUUAUAACUGCGAAAAGACGGGGUCGGCUGCAACGGCCAACACUGGAAAAGCAUCUCCGUCAGUGCUGGGGGAGCCACAUCGGGGACCGCCGCCUGUACAAGUGUUGGCGAUGGGACUCAGCAGCACGACACAGUUGCCCAGGAUGCACAAGCUCAGAGUCACAUACGAACGUGGGAGAAAGAGUGUGUGCCCAGCACAAAACUGAAAAGGGAAGAGAAACUGCAUUAACCGGCCUUCAGGGGCACACCUUUCCCCAGCACUGCAGUGGCAGACCAGCGCCCCGACCGGCCGUCCUCGGACCGCUCAGCAUGCAGGAGGACUAGCCCCACGCGGCCGCUGUGCAGCUCGCCCGUGUCCCACAGCCAAUCUUCAAUCAGCCCCAAAGCCCCUGAAUUCCCCACAGCUCGGCCCACAGCACGGCCGGCUUUGGGUGCCACUGGCUACAUAUAUUGAACCUGAAGCAUCGGAUUGCAUAUUUGUUCAAUAGCAAUAAACUCC
rnacentral:lncRNA from 1 species